rnacentral:rRNA from 1 species
CCGGCACGGGUGAGUAACACGUAUCCAACCUGCCGUCUACUCUUGGACAGCCUUCUGAAAGGAAGAUUAAUACAAGAUGGCAUCAUGAGUCCGCAUGUUCACAUGAUUAAAGGUAUUCCGGUGGACGAUGGGGAUGCGUUCCAUUAGAUAGUAGGCGGGGUAACGGCCCACCUAGCCUUCGAUGGAUAGGGGUUCUGAGAGGAAGGUCCCCCACAUUGGAACUGAGACACGGUCCAA